rnacentral:rRNA from 1 species
UAGGGAAUCUUCCACAAUGGACGCAAGUCUGAUGGAGCAACGCCGCGUGAGUGAAGAAGGCUUUCGGGUCGUAAAACUCUGUUAUUGAAGAAGAACGUGUGUGACAGUAACUGGUCAUGCAGUGACGGUAUUCAAUCAGAAAGUCACGGCUAACUACGUGCCAGCAGCCGCGGUAAUACGUAGGUGGCAAGCGUUGUCCGGAUUUAUUGGGCGUAAAGCGAGUGCAGGCGGUCUUUUAAGUCUGAUGUGAAAGCCUUCGGCUUAACCGAGAAGGGCAUCGGAAACUGGGAGACUUGAGUGCAGAAGAGGAGAGUGGAACUCCAUGUGUAGCGGUGAAAUGCGUAGAUAUAUGGAAGAACACCAGUGGCGAAGGCGGC